CAUGCCUUACACAUGCAAGUCGAACGGCAGCACGGGAGCAAUCCUGGUGGCGAGUGGCGAACGGGUGAGUAAUGUAUCGGAACGUACCAUUCAGUGGGGGAUAACGUAGCGAAAGUUACGCUAAUACCGCAUAUUCUGUGCGCAGGAAAGCAGGGGAUCGCAAGACCUUGCGCUGAUUGAGCGGCCGAUAUCAGAUUAGCUAGUUGGUGAGGUAAAGGCUCACCAAGGCGACGAUCUGUAGCGGGUCUGAGGGGAUGAUCCGCCACACUGGAACUGAGACACGGUCCAGACUCCUACGGGAGGCAGCAGUGGGGAAUUUUGGACAAUGGGGGCAACCCUGAUCCAGCCAUGCCGCGUGAGUGAAGAAGGCCUUCGGGUUGUAAAGCUCUUUCGGCCGGGAAGAAAUCGUAUGGGUUAAUACCCUGUGCGGAUGACGGUACCGGCAUAAGAAGCACCGGCUAACUACGUGCCAGCAGCCGCGGUAAUACGUAGGGUGCGAGCGUUAUCGGAAUUACUGGGCGUAAAGCGUGCGCAGGCGGUUUUGUAAGACAGGC
rnacentral:rRNA from 1 species